UACGAAGGGGGCUAGCGUUGUUCGGAUUCAUUGGGCGUAAAGGGUGCGUAGGCGGCGCGGUAAGUCGGGUGUGAAAUCUCGGAGCUUAACUCCGAAACUGCAUUCGAUACUGCCGUGCUUGAGGACUGGAGAGGAGUGUGGAAUUCCUGGUGGAGCGGUGAAAUGCGCAGAGAUCAGGAGGAACACCCGUAGCGAAGGCGGCACUCUGGGCCGAUACUGACACUGAGGAGCGAAAGCGUGGGGAGCGAACAGG
rnacentral:rRNA from 1 species